CAUCAUGAUGGUCCUGAUCGUUGCCCUGGUCACAGGAACCAUGGCCUACACUUACAAGUGAGUCACAAAUCAGCAUUGGUCUACUCUAUUCACAGCUCUCUGAAGAGUUCCAUAUCAACACAAGACGAUUCAAAGCCUACCUUCCUCUGAAGGAGGAGUCUGUGGUUGGCUCCACCUUCCAGAGCGCUGAGAGCAGUCCUGGUUGGAGCUCUGGGCCUCUACUGUUCUGGAACCUUCUGAGUCGAUGGGACCUUAUAGAGAACAGCCCACUGCUCGAUGACAGGCUGGUGUGAAUGGAAAACAACCCAUUCAACUGCCAAAUACACAACAGCAUAGAAACAUCCGUCAUCUGAAAUGUUUAGCUUUUUCUUUAAUCAAUUUUUUAUACAUUUAUUUUUUAACUGAAAGUUCAUUAAUGGAUAUAAUUUGGCUUAUUACCAUCAAACUUAAAUGUGCAUCCUCAAAUGUUUAUAGUGGAAGUUUUAUCAGUGAAUAGUAUUGUAAACUACUGUAAAGUCAGACAUUUAUAUGUAUUUUCCCCAUUAAAAUCCCCCCCCAAAACUGUA